UGGGAUGGAACCCACACUCCCUGCGUUGGAAGCAUGGAGUCUUAACCAGUGGACUGCCAAGAUCUGUUGAAGAAAGUAGACAUUCAAUUAACGACUCACCUGACACCAUAGCUUCCUCUGCAGAAUGAUAUCUUAUCUUUGAGAUACACUGAAGCUUGACUCUCAUGACAUUUCACUAUCAAACAUUCAGGUAUUGGGAUUUUACACAUCUUUUUACAGUGGAGAAAAUAUGGUCUUAGAGACAUUGAGAGAGAUGACUGCAUGGCACUAAUGGGUGGGAGGUAGACCAGAACCUAGGCCUGUAUAGUCUGGAUCAUGCUGGCAAACGUCCGCCUCCAUUCCAUUGCUUCAGUGGCAGUGUGAGUGGAACCAUGAACUGUAGAGACGCCUCUGUCUUCUGGGAAAACAGCUCCUUGGACUGGAUGGUAGGCUGCCCAGAUGCCUGUGACUGCUUGUCUCAGAGGAGCCCUAGGGCUGGCUGUCACUCUUUGGAAAGCAUUCAUAUAAGUGGAUGUUAUUUUAGUACAUCAAUAUUUUUUAUUAUGAAUUGAAAUAUUUAUCAGUCAAUCCAGAAAAUACUUUGGCCUUGUGAUACUUUUUAAAAAAAUAAAUGCUUUCUUAUUUUCUCUGA